rnacentral:lncRNA from 1 species
UUUUCUUUGGGACAAGGGCAUCUUUGGCAUAUAGUACAAAACCGUGGUGACAGUGAUUAAACUUUGGUUCCUUUCUUACCUAGGCACCUUGAGGACAAUACAGGGGCAUUUGCUGUGCUCUGUUAUUUCAUCCUGCCCAGUGACUACUACCAAGGCCUUCUCACAUUCUGUAUUAAAUAAAUUACAAAUUUCUCUAUGUCUCUUCUAAGAUGUUACAGAUCCGCAGCAUAUCAGAAACAUACUCUGGCUGGCUUAAGUAAUGUUUUCAGCCUUAAGUUGUUGCUGCUGUUCUUGGAGUGUAUUUUUUUUAAAUUGCAUGUGCUAUCUGUGAAGAAACAAAAUUAAACCCAAGUGGAAAUGGAUGGGGUUUUGGAAUUGAUUUUCUGCAGCUAUUUUAAAUGAUACUGUUUUGGAGUAGUGUAGUAUGCAAUUGUAUGUAAAUAUUUUUAAUGGACACACUACUCUUUAUUUCUAAUAAGCUGAUUUAAAAGGCCAGGCAUAAUAAUAGACAUGUUUAUCUCCUGUUCUUUUUCAUGGGUUUUUCACAAGGGUUUAAUUAAUCUCCUUCAUGGUCAUACAAUUCCGUCCCAAUUACACGCCUCUGCUGUAAAUGUUCAUUUCUCUCUCUCUCUCUCUCUCUCUCUCUCUCUCUCUCUCUCUCUCUCUCUCCUCUCUCUCUCUCUCUCUCUCUCCCUCCCUCUCUCUCUCUCAUUUUUCUUUGUUUAAAUGACUGCACAGUUACUGCAUAGUGAAAGAUUUUUUUUUUUAAUCGCAUCUUGCGGUUAAGUUGGGAAACUGCAUUCAGCUCUUCAGUCAGGUUGGGAGGCUGAAGAUGUAGGUCUCUCAUUCUUUAUUGGAGACAAAAUGAAAAAGGAGUCACUUUCCCUAGUGAGAAGGGAAUACUUUUUUUCAACAUUGUUUUUUAUGAGUAUGCAUUAAUUAUACAUAAUAAUGGGUUUCAUAUGACAUUUUCAUAUAUGCAUAUAAUGUAUUUGAUCAUACUCAUCCUAAUUAAUCUCACUUGUCCCCUCCCACUCCUGCUGAUUCCCAAGACAGGGAUGCUCUUCUGGGUGAGUUGGGAAGGGGCCAUUUAGACCAGUGCCUUGAGCUGCUCUGUGGUUGGACCAGACUUGACUCUUUCUGAAACCAAGUAGGGACUUUUCCAAGUCAGCCUUGCUGCUGGGCUCUCCCUGUAUCCACAUCUGCCUAUCACCACAAGUUCUAAGUGCUAAGUCUUGCCAGUCUUCAACAGGAUGGGUCCAAAUAUAGGAAACACCUUUGAAAACUUGCCUUUGUAGCAGGCUGAUACAAAGCCUUCAAUUUGCAAAGUAAACCAAAUGCUGGCCCUUUGAUUACCCCAAAAGAAGUUUGUUUUCAGAGAAUCAUAAAUUAUUCUUAGGUUCAACUUGUCUGUCACAUACUGUGCCUCCGUUAACACUCAUUUGACUCAGAGCCAACCCUAUUAAUGUCAUAUGUUGUUUGCUGCCAAUGGGACUUUAGUAUUGGAAUUGCUGACAAGGACACUAGCCAGUUCUUGGCAGGAGACAGUAGCAAGUAUAAUAUCACAUGCAUAUGAAAAUUGUUUCCUCUAUCAACCAGAAAGAAAAUAAAACACCAGAGCAGCCAUCUUUAGAUUCUUCUUGGUAAUUUUUAGGGGGCGGGGGAUUGGUGGCAGCUACUGGUCAAUAGAUGGCCAGACAUAACUUCCUGUAGGGUUAGAGGCAGCUUUCGCUGUGGGCUGUGAGCCAUCGGCAGAAUACAUCGUCACUGGCAUUCUUCAGCUGGGCAACAAGCAACACCAUGGUACCAGCCCCAACAAAGGCCUGGUUUCCCUCUCCAUUCCCAGGUCCUUAUCUAUGGCCAGCAGCUCUAAGUUUACAAAGACGCCAAACAGCCAGAAGAAUUAGGGUUUAUGUUUCUAUUCAGUCUUUCACAAGCACAUUAGCGAUCAAUCUGGCCUUUCCUCACCACGAGGAGAAUAAGUAGGUACAAAAUGCAUACCCCCCCAUUUAAGCCUCUGAUUUUAGAUGUUUAUUAUCUAUUCAUAAUAUUUUUAUUUGGAGCCAGCAAUAUUUCUCAGCUUGCGAAGGAAUGUGCUUUCUGUAUGUGGCGGUCCUGACACUUUGACAGUGAUGAACAUAUUUACGUUGUGCUCCACUUGUUUGCAAAAGUCGCCUUUUCGCUAGCACAUCCAAAGCAUUUUUCCUCUCUCCUCUAGUAUAAUGGCAUAUUCAUGCUGUCAGCCUUUCUUUAAAGGUUAGAGGCAUCACUUUAUUGGUGCUUACCACAAUGCAGUCUGAAACUUCAUUUGCUGUUACUUUAAAAUACUGCACGUCACAGAAAUCUGUUCAUUGUUGGUGACUUUGGAACUGUAGUUUAGAGAAAUGACCUCACACUUUAAAAUGUUGUGUAGCAUUUGUGGUAGGCUGAAGACAAAAGGUUGAUAACCAACUUCGAUUUCGUUUACAUUUUGAUAGUUAAAGCUUCCCCCCCACACACA